UUUACAACAAUAUUAAUAGUAAACCACAUAGUACUAUAUAGUAAAACAACAUAUAAAUAGUAAUAUAUUAGUGAACAACAACUUUUAAAUUUUCCCAUUUAAUGCCAAAUGUUCGUUGAAAUAUGAAAUAAUUUUUCAUAAUUUUGUCUGCCGGAGUUUUUGCCGGAGUUUUCCGACUCCGGCAAAAUCAUGUAGAUUUUUAACGAUAAUUUCCAACGAAACAUGCUACUGCAACCAAAGAUCGUUAAAUAAUAAAUGGCACCCUUUACGCAUUUAUUUAAAUCCAUAUAAAUUUUAAAGUGCGUAUUUUUAUGGCGUGCGGAUCUGGACAAAAAUACUUCUUUGUAAUAUACGACUUGUUUUGAGUUGCAAACAUGUUUGUCUGAUAUAAAUAUAUGAUUUCUGGAGAAAUCUAGAACUCCUUUGCGAGAAAUACAACCUCUGUUUCAGAAAUAUACCAAGCUUGUUUCAAAAAUAUACUAGGACUUCUGUUUGAAAAAUAUAAUACUUUGAUUUCAAAAAUAUAGCACUUUAUUCGUGUUCACAGACCUUAAAAACAAUUGAUUUCAAAAGAAAUUAAUGGUGCAGAACACGAAUAUUUGAAUAUUGCCCCCACCACAAUUAUCGAGUUUGCUACGCCACUGAAUUCCUUCAUGAUAUUCUUCCCUUGAGGAAUUCAAACAUGGAGUAAACAUUGACAAGAAUUGGGCAAGAAAAGGAACAAGGUGAAUCCUUACUAAGAAAUCCAUCGAAAUAUGUUUUUUUAGAACCUGAGAUAGCUAAAAGAGUAACCUAAUAAUUGCUUGUGGACAUCUGGAGCCAAAACGUGAUAUAGCCAAUGGCGUUUAUAACACUGUUGUUAAGUUUCAACGACUUAUAUCUCGAUUGGAAAAACGUUUUCAAGUGUUUGAAGAAGAUGAACUGCAUUAUACAUGCCCAACGAAGGUGUGCGACAAGGGCGUGGUAGACCAUAUGCCUCUCUUCGACCCCUUAAAGUUUUUUUUCCAAAACACCAAGCAUUUUAGAAAUAGAUAUCCACGAAAAACCAAGCGACGCAGAUUUUCUUUUGGAAUCAAAAGCUUUGAUCUACCACGCCAUGUCGCACACCUUCGUUGGGUAUGUUUAAUGCACUUCAUCUUCUUCAAACACUUGGAAACGUUUUUCCAAUCGAGAUAUAAGUCGCUGAAACUCAACAACAGUAUUAUAAACGCCAUCGGCUAUAUCAUUUGGCUCCAGAUCACAAGCAAUUAUUAGGUUACUCUUUCAGCUAUAUCAGGUUCUGGGACAAUCAUAUUUCGAUGGAUUUCUUGAUAAAGCUCCUUACCAGCAUUUAGGAUUGCUAGUAAGGAUUCACUUUGUUCAUUUUCUUUCCCGAUUCUUGUCAAAGUUUCCUCCAUGUUUGGAUUCCUCAAGGGAGG